UUAAGUUUUUUAGAGGCGUACAGUGAAUGCCUUGGCUCUUACAGACGAAGAAAGACGCGACUACCUGCGAUAAGCCUCGGGGAGCUGGAAGUGAGCUUCGAUCCGAGGAUCUCUGAAUGGGGAAACCCGGCACGGGCAACACCGUGCCACCGAGGGGCGCACGCCCUUCGGGGGAACACGGGGGGAAUUGAAACAUCUUAGUACCCCCAGGAAAAGAAAGAUAGCAUCGAUUCCGUCAGUAGCGGCGAGCGAAAGCGGAGCAGCCCAAACCACCUUCGGGUGGGGUUCGGACCACGACAUGAUACGCGCUUGGCUCAUCCGAGAGGCCUGGGAAGGCCUGCCAGAGAGGGUGACAGCCCCGUAGGGAUACGGCCGAGCGGUUCUAGUGGGAUCCAGAGUACGGCGGGUCAAACAUCCUGCCGGAACGUGCGUCGACCAUGACGUAAGGCUAAAUACUAGUAAGAGACCGAUAGUGCACCAGUACCGUGAGGGAAAGGUGAAAAGAACCCCGGGAGGGGAGUGAAAAGAAUCUGAAACCGUAUGCCUACAACAAGCCAGAGGGCGUUGACGCCUGAUGGCGUGCCUAUUGAAGAAUGAGCCGGCGAGUCACGUUCACAUGCGAGGUUAAGCCGAAGAGGCGGAGCCGCAGCGAAAGCGAGUCUGAUAAGGGCGAGCAGUAUGUGUGCGUGGACCCGAAGCCCGACGAUCUAUCCAUGAGCAGGCUGAAAGAAGGGUAACACCUUCCGGAGGGCCGAACCGACGUUCGUUGCAAUGACCGCGGAUGACUUGUGGAUAGCGGAGAAAUUCCAAUCGAGUUGGGGGAUAGCUGGUUCUCCCCGAAAUAACUUUACGGCUAGCCUCUGUCUAUUACCCUGUGGGGGUAGAGCACUGAAUGGUUGAUGGGCGCCUUGGGCGCUACUGAAUCCAAUCAAACUCCGAAUCCCAUGGGGCGUACGCAGGGAGUCAGACUGUGGGGGAUAAGCUCCAUGGUCAAAAGGGAAACAGCCCAGACCGCCGAAUAAGGUCCCGGAAUUCACGCUGAGUGUUAAAGGAAGUGGAGAGACAUAGACAACUAGGAUGUUGACUCAGAAGCAGCCAUCAUUCAAAGAGUGCGUAACAGCUCACUAGUCGAGUCUCUCUGCACCGACGAUUUAUCGGGGCUAAGCGUGGUACCGAAUUCGCGGAUUCGCGCAGCGAUGCGCGAGUGGUAGGGGAGCGUUCCAUCAGGGGCGAAGGCGGACCGUGAGGACCGCUGGACCGGAUGGAAGUGAGUAUGCCGGCGUAAGUAACGAUAUGGGGUGAGAAUCCCCAUCACCAUUAGACUAAGGUUUCCUGGGGAAGGGUCGUCCUCCCAGGGUUAGGCGGGUCCUAAGCCGAGGCCGAGAGGCGUAGGCGAUGGACAGCAGGCUGACAUUCCUGCCCCCGCCCGCAUGCGAUGUAGUGACAGAUCGGGAUAGCGGCACCCCUUAUUGGAUUGGGGGCCAAGGGAGACGAGCUGGCCGGCAGGCAAAUCCGCCGGCCAAGGCGAGUCCCCGAGCGCGAGCGAAAGCGAAGGCGAGUAGCGAAGCCCGCGAUUCCCGGUCUCGAGAAAAACUGCUAGCUUAAGUGCGGGUGGCCCGUACCGAGAACGAACACACGUGGUCAAGGAGAGUAUCCUGAGGUGAGCGAGCGAACUGUUGUUAAGGAACUCUGCAAAAUUACUUCGUAACUUCGGAAGAAGAAGUGCCCCCGCGAGGGGGCCGCAGUGAAGAGGCCCAAGUAACUGUUUAUCAAAAACACAGCUCUAUGCUAAGCCGCAAGGCGACGUAUAUGGGGUGAUGCCUGCCCAGUGCUGGAAGGUUAAGAGGUGUGGUCAGCCGCAAGGCGAAGCCAUUAAUCGAAGCCCCAGUGAACGGCGGCCGUAACUAUAACGGUCCUAAGGUAGCGAAAUUCCUUGUCGGGCAAGUUCCGACGCGCAUGAAUGGUAUAAUAAUUUGGGCGCUGUCUCGACAGCAGACUCGGUGAAAUCUUAUUACCUGUGAAGAUGCAGGUUACCCGCGACUAGACGGAGAGACCCCAUGGAGCUUUACUGUAACCUAAUAUUGAGCGUCUGUUCUCCAUUCGCAGCAUAGGUGCCAGGCUAUGAAGCCAGGGCUUUGGCCUUGGUGGAGCCGCCAAUGAGAUAGCACUAUUGGAGGAUGGCCGUUCUAACGUACGCCCUCACGAGGCGGCGGACAGUGUUAGGCGGGCAGUUUGACUGGGGCGGUCGCCUCCCAAAGAGUAACGGAGGCGCUCCAAGGUUCGUUCAGCAUGGUUGGAAAUCAUGCGCUGAGUGCAUUGGCAUAAACGAGCUUGACUGCGAGGCCUACAAGCCGGGCAGGGACGAAAGUCGGACAAAGUGAUCUUGCGGUUUCGUAUGGAAGAGCCGUAACUUAACGGAUAAAAGCUACCCUGGGGAUAACAGGCUGAUCUAGUCCAAGAGUUCACAUCGACGACUAGGUUUGGCACCUCGAUGUCGGCCCAUCACAUCCUGGAGGGGAAGUACCUUCCAAGGGUUUGGCUGUUCGCCAAUUAAAGUGGUACGCGAGCUGGGUUCAAAACGUCGUGAGACAG
rnacentral:rRNA from 1 species